rnacentral:rRNA from 1 species
GACGAACGCUGGCGGCGUGCUUAACACAUGCAAGUCGAACGAAAAGGCCCAGCUUGUGGGGGGUGCUCGAGUGGCGAACGGGUGUGUAACGCGUGUGUCCCCCGCCCUUCACUUUGAUAUAACUUCGGAAAGGUGGGGCUAAUCCCGUAUGGGAGCUCCCGCUACGUGGAGUUGCUUGGAAAGUUUCGGCGGUUGGGGAUGGACUCGCGGCCUAUCAGCUUGUUGGUGGGGUAGUGGCUUACCAAGGCCUUGACGGGUAGCCGGCCUGAGAGGGUGACCGGCCACACUGGGACUGAGACACGGCCCAGACUCCUACGGGAGGCAGCAGUGGGGAAUAUUGCACAAUGGGCGGAAGCCUGAUGCAGCAACGCCGCGUGCGGGACGACGGCCUUCGGGUUGUAAACCGCUUUUGGCAGGGAAGAAGCGAGAGUGACGGUAACUGCUAAAGAAGCACCGGCUAACUACGUG